rnacentral:ribozyme from 1 species
AGACGAGGUGAAGCACAAGAAAGAUGAUGAUGAUGCGAAAACGACGGAAACCGCGUAAAAACGCAUGACGCUUCUGUUCCUC